UUAAAGGAAUUGACCGGGUCCCCGCACAAGCAGCGGAGCGUUGUGGUUUAAUUCGUUGCUACACGAAGAACCUUACCUGGGUUUGACAUAGCAGUGGUAGGAAGAGAAUCGGACCGACCCUUCGGGGAGCUGUUACAGGUGUUGCAUGGCUGUCGUCAGCUCGUGUCGUGAGGUGUCCGGUUAAGUCCGCUAACGAGCGCAACCCGCGUUGUGUGUUAUAUGUGUCACACAAUACCGCCGGUAUUAAGCCGGAGGAAGGUGGGGAUGACGUCAAGUCCUCAUGGCCUUUAUGACCAGGGCUACACACGUACUACAAUGGCCGGUACAAAGGGCAGCCACUUAGCGAUAAGGAGCCAAUCCCGUAAAGCCGGUCUCAGUCCGGAUUGGAGUCUGCAACUCGACUCCAUGAAGUUGGAAUCGCUAGUAAUCGCAGAUCAGCACGCUGCGGUGAAUACGUUCCCGGGCCUU
rnacentral:rRNA from 1 species